CGCUGUCCUGUCUGCAGGGGCUGCCUUCCGGGAUUGCCCGCUCUCCUGCGUGCAGGCCCUGCUGGGAGGCUCAGCUGGCCCCGGGGACCGCCUGCCGGGUCUGCCCGCUGUGCUGCCUGCAUGGACCACCAGCCUGAGCUGCCCGCUCUCCUGCCUGCAGGCCCGGCUGGGAGGCUCAGCUGGCCCCGGGGACCGCCUGCCGUGUCGGCCCGCUAACCUGCCUGCAGGGCCCGCCAGCCUGAGCUGCUCGCUGUCCUGCCUGCAGGGCCCGCCUGCCGGGGCUGCCCGCUGUGCAGCCUGCAAGGCCCACCUGCCGGGGUUGCCCUCUAAGCUGCCUACAGUGCCCGCCUGCCGGUGCUGCCCACUGUACAUCUUUCAGGCCCAGCUGGGAGGCUCAGCUGGCACUGGGGCUUGCAUGCCGGGCCUGUCUGCUGUCCUGCCUUCAGAGCUCGCCAGCCUGGGCUGCCCGCGGUCCUGUCUGCAGGGGCCGCCUGCCGGGAUUGCCCGCUCUCCUGCUGGCAGGCCCGGCUGGGAGGCUCAGCUUGUCCCGGGGACCGCCUGCCGGGUCUGCCCGCUGUCCUGCCUGCAUGGACCACCAGCCUGAGCUGCCCGCUGUCCUGCCUGCAGGGCCUGCAGGCCCGGCUGGGAGGCUCAGCUGGCCCCGGGGACCGCCUGCCGGGUCUGCCCGCUCUCCUGCCUGCAGGGCCCGCCAGCCUGAGCUGCUCGCUGUCCUGCCUGCAGGGCCCGCCUGCCGGGGUUGCCCUCUAAGCUGCCUACAGGGCCGGCCUGCCGGGGCUGCCCGCUGUACGUCCUUCAGGCCCAGCUGGGAGGCUCAGCUGGCACUGGGGCCUGCAUGCCGGGCCUGUCUGCUGUCUGGUCUUCGUUUUUGGUUCUCUUCAUUUGGUUUAUAAAUUUGAGUUAAUAUUUGGAGCCAUUUUCUCAACCCAAUACAGCUUUGCUCCCAUGACCUCCUUCGUACUCUUAUUGGUGAACACAUUACAUUUAUAUAUGGUACAGGAAGAAGAAUGCAUUGUAUAUAUGCAGUUUUAUACAACUGCUUUCUACAUCGGUUAAGAGAAGAAAAUAGAAGAAUGUGCACUUAUACUGCCUUUUGUAGUUUCAUAUUUACCUUUUAUGGUGCCCUAUGUUUUUUGUGUGUGAUUUUGAUUUACUGUCUGGGAUCACUUGCUUCCAGCCUGAUGAAUUUCUCUUUUGAUUUCUUAUGAGGCAGAUAUUCCAGCGACAUAUUCUUUCAGUUUUGUUAAUCUGGGUGAUUCCAGCUCUUCAUAUAGCUGCUGCCUCACAGAAUUAGGAUGAGUAGUGGGAAGAACUGAGUGUGGGAAUGAAGCAGAUGGGACAGAGUCCAAGAACCCAAAAGCAAGGAGGAAGAGACAGUACCGGGGCAUGAAUAGCCUUGGAGGGUUCCUGACGCCAGCCUGCAGUUCCUGGAGCUCCAGCACCUCAUCCACAACAUUUGCGAAUGGACAAGGCAGGAGUGAGGAAGAAAGGUUUCAUCUUCAGAGAAGAGGUAUCAGUAGUGUAGGGGUGAAGGUGAUGGAAGAAACGGUUGUGGAACAAAAGGAAUAGAAAGCUCCCGGCAAGGAUGGAGGCAGCACUGUUUGUUGGACAACUGAAUUGGCCCAGGUGGCCCCUGCACUCUCAGGUACCUGAGACUCCACCCGCCUUGCCUUACUGUCCACAUUUACUCAUGGUGACAACCCCCGCCCCCAAAUUUCAUUUGAAUGACAUGCGCAGGUGCAUUUGCACUGAGAUCUUUAUUCUAGGCCUGGGGCCUUGGAGCAGUGGGCAAUUGCAACACAGGACAGAGAAGAGAGUAUUGUUUGUGUCCCUGUGAUCAGACACAUGCACACACUACACACACACACACACACACACACACACACACACACACAAGGACACGGGCACAGACAUGGGUAGUAAUGAGACCUAUUAAGUAUUUUCCCCUCCAGUAGGCAGAUGUGCAUGAUACAUAAAUUACAAAUAAGAGGAACCUUGUGAACACAUUUCAAAGGCAAGAUGAGUGAAUAUCGGUGACUUGUGGUUUUCAUGUAUUUUAUAAUUCAGUUCUUGGUAUAAAAUAUAUUUUAUAUUCCAACCUCGUAUACACCUAUACACUCUUGAAAAAUCGAAAGAAGAGUUUCACUGAAGAAAACUUAAUUUCACAAGGUGUGAUACUCUCUGAUGUUUUAUUUUACAUCAUAUACUAGUUCAAUUAAAAAAUAAAUUCAUUAAGCUCAUCA
rnacentral:lncRNA from 1 species